rnacentral:tRNA from 1 species
UUAAAUGAAACCAAAAUAGAGGAAAAUUAUUGUUAAUAAUUAAAUUGAAUCAAAUUCCAUUUAAA